UACCUCGACUAGGCAAAAAAACACCUUGCUUGUCACGGAGAACAACACGAUGCCGCUGCUGAUGAAAAGUAUAAACAAUUUCCAAUUCUUUUUCAUUGUCAGAAAAUAAUGGAUAUAUUCCGAUAAUUGACGACUAAAUCAACAGUUAGCAAUCAAAACAAAAAUGAAAUGUUAAGCGACAUAGUUUUACCUUUGAAACACUAGAAGGGAUAGCUAAACGAGAGUUUUCAACUAAAGCAGCAAUUGAUAUAGUCACAUCUUGCUUUAAAUCAGGUUCGUUUGCACCGCAAUUAACGACUCGGUACUCGGCAUACUCAAUAACCAGACCGCCUUUCUCCAUUUCCAAUUUCUGUUUUUUCUCUACAAUUUCCUUCAUCAAUUUAACAGCUCGAAUUGCAGAAACUUUCUUGCGUUCUUGAGAAUCCUUAAGUUUUUGUAAUCGUAAUAAGCGCAGUCUUUUCUGAUUGGAAAGUCGCCUGGGACGGAGGAAAAAUUGCUCAACUCCAAGUAUAGAAGUAAUCGGAAAUACGAGACCCCAAAAGACUGCAGAACGAUCAAACACACUACACCACAUAAUAGGAAGAGAAAUCUUUUGACCAAGGCGUGACCAACUAAAAAAAUUAGUAUUUGUAGUUGAGAAGAAAUCGAGAAAUGAACAUACUUAAGACUAAACGUAAUAGAGCCAGUUGGGACACCAACUGAAAUAUUUACUCCAAAGGUUGAAUAACGGCCAACUUUACGACUCGUAUCACCGGAAACCUGAAGACCUCCUACUGUACUCAUCGAAGUCCCGAGUUUGAUUUGAUAUGGUGAGUCCUCAGUUGCAUUUUUUAAAUUAUAGUUGUAAGCAAUACCGCUAUACAUUAAACCAGCAGUAACUUCAGCGUUCCAACUGAGUUGAGGGACCAAACUAUUUGGAAUAGCUUUCAUUUGCUGCCAAGUAAGUGAAAAUGAGGAAUUCGCUCCACGAGGGGAAGCAAUUCCCCAAGAACCAAGUGACCACACACCAGUUUUCCAGCGUGCUGUAAGAGUACCAAAGCGAGUGAUUUGUCGUCCGAUGACUACGGUGGCUUGCGGGGGACGCUUUAGACCCGAUAUUUGAAUAAGAGGGACAAUAAAAGUUUGGUUAUUGAUAGCGUACACUGACUUGACGGUAAUUAAACCUGGCCUCAAAAGAGAAAAUCCAAUUUCAGAACUAAGGUUAGGAGAGGGCUGAGAAUGAUAAACGGCAAAAAUGGAAGGUUGAAGCUUUGAGUUUUGUCUCAUUGAUGCUUCAGUGACUAUAGAUAAACGAGAGGAUGUUUUAUGGUUGCCUUCAUCUUCAUCUGAAGGCGCGGAAAAUUCAUCAUCAAAAGAGCCUGAGGAAAAAGAAUUGAAAGACGGCUUUUUGAGGUCAUUGGAAAACGAUGUUGGAAUAGAGAAAGAGCUUUUAAUUUGAAAAGAUACCCACUGGAUUAAGGAAAAUCGUUCAUAAGGGGUCAGCAUUCUAGUACCAGCACCUAAACCAA